AUGAUAUUUGAGUAUAUUUUCUUCACCCGAACAUUCUGAGACUUUUUCUACUGAUUUUGGGUGGUUUCUCGGUGACCUAUCGGCUUCUAGGGUUUCUGGUGGUUUAACCUUGGGUUCUAUUGCUUUCCGGUGGCUCGAUUCUCACUCAAUGGAUGUUUUGGGUGCCUCUCCGACAUUACUGACCACAUUUCCAGUAAGGAUUUCGAAGGUUACACCUAGGGUUUUAUACCUAGGGUUUUCUCUGUUGUUUGAAGGCCGAUCUUCUCCG
rnacentral:lncRNA from 1 species